GAUGAACGCUGGCGGCGUGCUUAACACAUGCAAGUCGAGCGAAGCGCUUUACUUUGAUUUCUUUCGGAUUGAAAAGUAGCUGCGACUGAGCGGCGGACGGGUGAGUAACGCGUGGGCAACCUGCCUCAUACAGGGGAUAACAGUUAGAAAUGACUGCUAAUACCGCAUAAGACCACAGUACCGCAUGGUAUAGGUGGUAAAAACUCCCGGUGGGUAAUGAGAUGGGCCCCGCGUCUGAUUAGGUAGUUGGUGGGGUAACGGCCGUACCAAGCCGACGAUCAGUAGCCGACCUGAGAGGGUGACCGGCCACAUUGGGGCUGAGACACGGCCCAAACUCCUACGGGAGGCAGCAGUGGGGAAUAUUGCACAAUGGGGAAAACCCUGAUGCAGCGACGCCGCGUGAAGGAUGAAGUAAUUUCGGUAUGUAAACUUC
rnacentral:rRNA from 1 species